GGCCGGUUAGCUCAGUUGGCUAGACCGUGGUGCUAAUAACACCAAGGUCGCGGGUUCAAGCCCCGUACGGGCCA
rnacentral:tRNA from 2 species